GUGGGGAAUAUUGCACAAUGGAGGGAACUCUGAUGCAGCAACGCCGCGUGAGCGAAGAAGGUUUUAGGAUCGUAAAGCUCUGUCCUAGGGGAAGAUAAUGACGGUACCCGAGGAGGAAGCCCCGGCUAACUACGUGCCAGCAGCCGCGGUAAUACGUAGGGGGCGAGCGUUGUCCGGAAUUAUUGGGCGUAAAGGGUGCGUAGGCGGCUGAACAAGUCAGAUGUGAAAGGUUAAGGCUUAACUUUAAUAAGCAUAUGAAACUGUUCAGCUUGAGUUAAGGAGAGGGGAGUGGAAUUCCUAGUGUAGCGGUGAAAUGCGUAGAUAUUAGGAGGAAUACCAGUGGCGAAGGCGACUCUCUGGACUUAAACUGACGCUGAGGCACGAAAGCGUGGGGAGCAAACAGGA
rnacentral:rRNA from 1 species